CUGACGCUAAAGCUCGAAGGUGCGGGUAUCGAACAGGAUUAGAUAACCCUGGUAGUCCGCACGGUAAACGAUGGAUGCCCGCUGUUUGCGAUAUACUGUGAGCGGCCAAGAGAAAUCGUUAAGCAUCCCACCUGGGGAGUACGCCGGCAACGGUGAAACUCAAAGGAAUUGACGGGGGCCCGCACAAGCGGAGGAACAUGUGGUUUAAUUCGAUGAUACGCGAGGAACCUUACCCGGGCUUGAACUGCAGCGGAAGGAUACAGAGAUGUUGACGCCCUUCGGGGCCGCUGUGGAGGUGCUGCAUGGUUGUCGUCAGCUCGUGCCGUGAGGUGUCGGCUUAAGUGCCAUAACGAGCGCAACCCUUUUCGUCAGUUGCCAUCAGGUGAUGCUGGGCACUCUGGCGACACUGCCACCGUAAGGUGUGAGGAAGGUGGGGAUGACGUCAAAUCAGCACGGCCCUUACGUCCGGGGCUACACACGUGUUACAAUGGGGCAUACAGAAGGCCGGUCGCCCGCAAGAGCGAUCCAAUCUUAAAAGUGUCCCUCAGUUCGGAUUGGGGUCUGCAACCCGACCCCAUGAAGCUGGAUUCGCUAGUAAUC
rnacentral:rRNA from 1 species